UACGUAGGGGGCAAGCGUUGUCCGGAUUUAUUGGGCGUAAAGAGCGUGUAGGCGGCCAGGUAGGUCUGGUGUGAAAACUCGAGGCUUAACCUCGAGAUGUCAUCGGAAACCAUCUGGCUAGAGUCCGGAAGAGGAGAGUGGAAUUCCUGGUGUAGCGGUGAAAUGCGCAGAUAUCAGGAAGAACACCAAUGGCGAAAGCAGCUCUCUGGGACGGUACUGACGCGGAGACGCGAAAGCGUGGGGAGCGAACAGG
rnacentral:rRNA from 1 species